AGUAGUGUGUCCCUGCUGACACCACUGGAUGAGCAAUGAUUUUGUGGAAUCCAUUCCUGGGAAAUUUUUCUCUAACGUCCUCCAACAGGAAGGAACAAAGCUACUGGACACAAAAAACCCCAUGAGCCAUCCAAUACCAUGCAGCAAAUGCUGAAGGAAAUGCUGCAGGGAGCACAAGCUAAGCCCCUUGGUGAAGGUGAUCUAGCUUCCCUACUCACAUCCAGGACUGAGCCUCACGGAGAUGGCGAGGGUGUGUCUGCAGGGAGGAUUUUCCCAGACACUUUUCAGGAUGCUGCACACAAGCCUAGCUCCCAUCACAGGGGUCCUCCAACAGGAAGGAACAAAGCUACUGGAUACAAGAAACCUCGUGAACCAUCUAAUACCAUGCAGCAAAUGCUGAAGGAAAUGCAGCAGGGAGGACAAGAGAAGGACCAGAAAGCUGUGCUGAAGGCGGUGUUUCCCAGAGAAAACAGUGGCUCAUGGUCAGCGUCUGCUGCAGGAAGGGAGGCCAUGCCAGGCACAGUCUCAGAGGGUCCUCCUGCAUGGACGAACCAAGACAUAGAAGACGGGAAAUCCCUGGAGGCAUCCCGACUUCUGGACAAGAUGUUGAGUGAUCUGGAGACACACCGUGAUGAGGGUGCUGAGACAGCUUCUCCAGCAGCUGGGAUGGAAGAUGGCUUGGAACCAUUAGGAGGUUCUGCAGGUGUGUCUGCAGAGAGGACUUUCCCAGCUACUUUCCUGAUUCCUGAACGCAAGCUCGGCUCCCAUCGCAGGGGUCCUCCUAGAGGGAGGAACAAGCCUACAGAAGAUAUCAAGUCCCUGGAGACAUCGGAAUACAUGGAUGUGAGGCUGAGUGAUCGGGACAGACGUCAUGAGAUGGACCAGAAGUCUUUGCAGAAGGCAGAACUUCCUGCAGAAUGCAACAGCUUCAUUCCAGAUGCCUCUACAGAAAGGGAGGAGAUAGCAGACAGUGGCACAGAAGGAAUCGAUAUUAAGGAUUCAGCGCCCAUCUCUGGAAUUGUCCGCCCGCAGGAUGUUCGGAAAACCUGCGUCGUAGACUCAGUUGUGACAGUUAUCACUGUGCAACUUGCAUUUAUAUGCUGUUUUUUUGGGAUCCGGAAAGUCUACAAGAUCAGACGGUAAUUUGUUGAUUUUUUUCCAGAGUUUUCUUAAAACUCUACACACAGCACUGGGAGCCUGACACAUAGGCAUGCUGCUGUGCACUUGUUUGUAGUCAAUGGUAGUCCACAGAAUUCUGCUGAGAGUUCUGCUGCUGCCCAGGCCUUUCAUUGGCCUCUGAAUUGCUGGGCCUUGUCCUGAGGAGCCCACUUGUACUGCAGCCAAUGCUGGCUCCCACAGGGGCUGCCUGGCCAAGAGCAGC
rnacentral:lncRNA from 1 species